CAGGGAUUUAGCAAAUCACUGCCGAGAUUAGGGAUUUAACGUCGCCGCUACCGGAAGAAUUCGACGUGAGAAAACUGGCAAUUAAGAGAACCACAAUUAAGAGAGAAAACUGGCAUGUCCAGAGAAAACCAGAUUUGAGGUUCAACUGGUUAUUCUAUAACUAGUUAACUUUCAAAACAAAUGAAACAGAGCAUGUGAAAGAUCUGUCUAAGAUCUGUCUAAGAUCCAGAUCUGUCUAAGAUCCGCAUACCACAAAUAUUUUUAUGUUAGCAUAUGCCACUGAAUCAAUUGGUAGGGAAUUGGUAGGGAAUUAGUAUAUGUUAGCAUAUUUAUUAAACACGACAUGGUAGAAAUAGUGAGUUAGUGAGUUAGGUCGAUAUAGUGAGUUAGUUCGUCAAAAGGAGCUGGUUGUUGCAGGAUCAAUUGAAAGAUGCUUCGAUCACAAAGAUAUUCUCAAUUGACAACCAGUUAUAACUUUAAGUGUCGUCGGGCUCAUGAUAAUCAGCACGAUCAGUUUAAGGCUACUAGAGAUCAUGUAGAGAGAGAAAACAUUUGUCUUGAAUAAAUCUCUACAGAAGAUCAGAUGACUGACACCAAACCAUUAGAUCAAGAAGCUUAUACUAGGAUUAGAAGAACAAUUAAUGGGAAUUUGUGAAAUAAAUGAAAUUUAGAAUGUUUAUAUUGUUUGCAUUUGUGUAGUUGCAUGUUUUUUUUAGGGAAGAAGAAACUUGUAGCACCUUCAAAGAAAACCUUAAUCUACAGAAAGUAUAUAUAUAUAACUACUGGUGGAUUUUUAUCCUUAUCAUUUUUCAUUACUGAUUACUUCAAUACAUUUACAGGUUGACAGAUUGUGUUUGUGCUGAUUCUGAUGCAAAAAGUUUUCAGAUACAUCGCCAGCAGUCAAGAUUUUGGUAUCUUAUCUUGUUCAUCUAGAUUGAUAUUCUACAACUAUGAUCCUCUUGAAGAAAUUCAAGAUGCCAUGCUUCCCAUUAAAAAUUGCAGAUACCUCUGAUGUUCAACAAACCAUAUAGUUCCAGGAAAAUUUAUCUAUAUAUAUUAGAAGAGUAAAUUAAACUGGGUGAUAUUUCACAAUCCUACUGAUAUCCAUCGAUUCCCCAUGUUUUUAUAACUACAUUUUACAUCUUUUAAAAAUUAGUUGAAUGAGUUAAGUAUUCAUUAAAAAUUUAGAUAUUUUUAUUCAGUAAAUUUUCAGUUAAAAAGUUAGUUAAUAGCGAGUAUGUCUUUAACAAACAGUUGUUAAAGAUCGAUACUAAUCAUUAGGAAUCAGGGCAUUACUUAAUCAUGUAUUACUUAAUCAUGUUUAAUAAAAUAAAUAUCACUAAUGGCCGAUUCAUUUAUCAGGUUAAAUGGAUUCCGCAUAUGCCAUAUAACACCAGAUAGGGUGAUCGAAUUCAUCAUACCUAGGACGAAUCAAGAUACCACAGAGGAAUCGCUGCUGCAGUUGUCGCUGCUAUGCGUGGUCGCUGCUGUAGUUGGAAUCGCCGCGGCCGUGUGCAAUCGUCACUUCCGUUGGGGGGGAAUGAGGGGAACUCGUUUGCCGUUGGGAGGGA
rnacentral:lncRNA from 1 species